rnacentral:rRNA from 1 species
AGUGAACGCUGGCGGUAGGCCUAACACAUGCAAGUCGAACGGCAGCACAGGAGAGCUUGCUCUCUGGGUGGCGAGUGGCGGACGGGUGAGGAAUACAUCGGAAUCUACUCUGUCGUGGGGGAUAACGUAGGGAAACUUACGCUAAUACCGCAUACGACCUACGGGUGAAAGCAGGGGAUCUUCGGACCUUACGCGAUUGAAUGAGCCGAUGUCGGAUUAGCUAGUUGGCGGGGUAAAGGCCCACCAAGGCGACGAUCCGUAGCUGGUCUGAGAGGGUGAUCAGCCACAAUGGAACUGAGCCACGGUCCAGACUCCUACGGGAGGCAGCAGUGGGGAAUAUUGGACAAUGGGCGCAAGCCUGAUCCAGCCAUACCGCGUGGGUGAAGAAGGCCUUCGGGUUGUAAAGCCCUUUUGUUGGGAAAGAAAUCCAGCUGGCUAAUACCCGGUUGGGAUGACGGUACCCAAAGAAUAAGCACCGGCUAACUUCGUGCCAGCCGCCGCCGUAA